rnacentral:tRNA from 6 species
CGGGAUAUAGCGUAGUUUGGUAGCGCGCCUGCUUUGGGAGCAGGAUGUCGCAGGUUCAAAUCCUGCUAUCCCGA